AAUGAUGUUGAGGGUAAUAUUUUAGCAUAGCCUUGAAUCUUUCCCAGGCUUGGUAAAAAUUCUCUCUAUCUUUUUUCCUGAAACUUAGAAUCUCACUUCUUAAACU